rnacentral:antisense_RNA from 1 species
CGGUAGGUGUACUCCCACGAGGCGGCGGUGUCGGUGAGCGGCUUGUCGCCGAGGUGGUCGCCCCCGGCGAGCGCUUCCAGGACCGUUUCGUCGCCGUAUUUCCCGGCGCCGAUCCGGUCGGCCCGGCCGUGCACGAUCAGCACCAGGCGGUCGGCGGGCGCGCCGGCGGUGGCGAUCGCGUCGCCGGGCGCGUACUCGCGCUGGACGAAGCGCUCGCCGAGCGCGCCGAGCACCGCGCUGUCGGUGAAGUCGCGCAGCGCGGGCAGUUCGCGCAGUUCGUCGGGGAUGAUCGAUACUUCGGUGCCAGAGACGGCGAAGUCCACGCGGCCGUCGCCGACCGUGUAGGUCAGCCGCCGGUUGACGCGGUACGUACCGCCGGAGACCUGCACCCAGGGCAGCAGCCGCAGCAGCCAGCGUGAGGUGACGCCCUGCAUCUGCGGCACGGUCUUGGUGGUCGUGGCCAGAUUGCGGGCCGCCGCCGUCGUGAGGCUGGAAUUCUGAGUUUCGC